rnacentral:ncRNA from 2 species
CUAAUUAAAUAUUUUUUUGCAGAUAUAGCGUACGGAAAAUGGCCGUACAGUUUCUACCACCAACCAAAAGAGGUGACUAUCCGCAAGUGCUUUUAGCUA